rnacentral:sRNA from 1 species
AUUCAAACCAAGUCAUCAGCCAUGGCGCCAUUGGUUGUUCUCCUGUUGCUAUGUGUGUUUUGCAGUGGAGGUAUGACUAAUCCUGGAGCACAUCCCAUCACUACUGAGCAAAGUUCCACGCAGAUACCCAUAAUUCGACACCACAUGGAAACUCUUACUCGUACCAAUUCCAUGUACGCAUUACUUGGACGUCAGCUACGCUGCCGAAUUUUUGAACGUCUUAGAAGAAGAUGUUGAUCCUGUGGCAAAGCAUAAGCUGUGGUCACAUUUGUCUCUAUAGUUAGAAGAGGGAGGGCUCAACUGUCACAGUAGCAUGUGACUUACUUACAAUCUUAAAACGAAAAUCCGUGAUUGAAUAAAUUCAAUGAUUAAUUACGCUUCCAGAUUGUAAAUUUAGAUGUGACAAUGUAAACUUCUUGUCAGUGUUGGCUUUUUUUUGUACAGAUGUUUGAGAAUUAAAAAAAACUAAUAAAGCUUAAAGCUUUAAG